AGCAGUGUGAUUUAGCAGAAUGAGAAUGGAUCAGUAGGAACCUACUUCAUCCUUACUUCAUCCACCUUCUACAGGGUGGAUUCCCCCUCUGUAUGAAGUCUGGAGCUUCUGUCAAGCUUUGAGUUUAUGGACUUUUCCUAGAGGAAGGCUCCUGUGGAUAUCCUGCAUUCCGUAUCUGAAGUGUGACAUUGAGCUCCUGUGUCAGGGAAACAGGGAGAAGGAAUUUGAAAAAAAAAAAUAGCAAGGCUAGUCUCUGAAUUUGUUUUGCCACUGCUCUUCAGAAGAUUUGUUGAGAUGGACUUGGAGUACCUGUUACCUUGACAACCAUAAAGAUGUGGCCAAAUACAAAUCUCUAGGAAUAAAAAAAAAAAUCUGCAGGACUGAGAACAAUGAGGUUACAAAGGGGAGAGUGGUUCCAAGGUUAUACCUCCAUCAGAAGCUUUGGCACCCAGUGCAGCAUCCAUGGAUGGAUGGGCUCUUCAACUUCGCACAUCAUGGAUACACCUGUGGCUUUCCUUUGGAGAGGUGAUACUACUGAAAAAAUUUGAAGCAAAUCUAUUUCACUCUUUUUGAUGAGGAAAAGAAGAAUAUAGCUUUACUGACAAGGAGCCCAACAAUACUGAAAGAGUAGCACCACAAUUACCUUAUCUCUUCAGGACAUAAAUUAGAUAAGUAUGGAAUCUGAAAAAUGGUAUUUUUGCAAAGCUCCAAACAUCUUGAAAAUAAUGAACUUAGUGUAAUCCAAUCAAAAACAUUUCUAACUUAGCUUUGUGUUUAAAAGUGUACUUUUCUUCAGCUAAGAAGUAUAUGUUUAAUUGAAGUGUGAGUCAGAGAGUGGCCCCACAGUUAUCUCUGUAAGACACAAUGAAACUGGAGAAAGCUGUAAAACUGAUUGAAGUUCAAAACUGUUCUAAUGAAUAGGUUUAUCCAGAAAGAACUACUUUGGUUUUUAAGGACAAAGAGCUGCUUUUUUUUAAUGUUGACGAAUUUGAAGCACUGCUGCCACCGAGACUGAGACACUUUCUUGAUAGUUAAAUGCUAUUUAAAGAUCACACAAAAAGCUAUCAAAGGAAAAACACAAAGAAAGGGCAUACAUUUGACUCUUUAAUGGAGGUGACCAAUAACAAAUAUAGUUUUUGUGGAGCUUGUAAGGAAUGUGAUUAUUUUAGAAGGUUGUGCAUGGAAAGAAAAAUAGGAGCGCCUGAAUCUGGUAACAGUUUGCAUUUAAUAAGUACUUUGUGUGUAAUAAGUGGCAUUAUUCGUAAUUGUAACAGUUGUAAUCUGAAGCCUUUAACUUAAGAUAUUUUGAUGUGACUUCAGAGAGUCAGAGCUAAAGGAUAUGGAAAUAGUUAUGUACUCCACAGCAGAAAUGAUUCUUAGGCUUUUGGUUAUGCAACCUCUGAAAUGGGGUUUAUCAGUAUUAAAAAAUACACAAAUUGUUAGAAUGACAAGUUUGAUAUUAGGAAACACGCCGCAUGAAAUAAGUAAGAGAAAGUUGAAUGAGUUUCAAUUAACCAAGUAAUAUUUCCAAAAUUAGUGGUUACUAGAUUUUUCUUUAAAGCAAAACCAAACUAUUAAAAAUAAUAUCUUAUAAUUUGCCAGUUGAUCACAACUUACAGUAUAUAGGUACUAUAUGUUUCAUUGCUUGCUAAAAUUAUUUUAAAACUUCUUGAAAAUAUUUGGAAACAUAUAAUUGUGCAAGUAAUAUUAUGCUGCCUGUGUUUUAUGCUGUGGUAACAAAAGUUUUAACUUUUUUUAGUUAAAUGCUGCUUAUCAUUCUAUGUGCUCUUAGUCAUGCUAUUUCAGCAUUUAACACAUUCUUUUUUCAUUGGUUAAUUUCCUGAAUUGUUGUUUGCUUUUUAAUUCUGCAGUCUUGGAUUUCAGUGUUCUUAUGUCUUGUCAGUAUCAGAGGUGUCUGUAUCCUUCAUUGAUUAAGUUAAUGUAGCAGCAGACUUAAGGAUGGAUUUCUGAUUAUUUCAUGCAUUUUCUGAGAUUGAGACACAUCAGACUGGAUGGCUCCUGUUGUCAGCUAUUUUCUUACUCUCAUCAGGUCAAAAUGGAGUUUUUUUGGUAUAAUUUGUAUUUAAUGACUUUAGAUUUAAUUUCCAAUCCUCUGGCAUCAAUGAUUGUGUGAAACAGAGCAUCAGAUAAAUACUACAAUCAGAUGAAGUCUGGAUUAGUAAAGUAUCAGGCUGAAAUAUAGGGUAUGCAAGUUCUCUUUACUCUUAGCCCAGUGACAGAGCUAGACAACUGCAAUCUUUUGAAUAACCUAAUUUUUUAACUUAACUAUUGAGAUUUUUUUUGUUUGCUUGGAGUUUUUUGUUUGUUUGUGUUUUUUGUAUUGUUUUGUUUGUGUCUUGUCUUCCUUUCAAAAGGAAGUAGCUCUGUUCUUUCCAAAAUUCCCGUGUGUGUGUAUAUAUAUAUAUAUAGUAUAAAGAAAAAGUGGUGUACUUUAAAAGCCUUAUGAAACAGAUCAGUAAUCUUAAAGGAGUGUUGAAAUAAACAGUUCUCUUUGAUCUAAAAGUAUAGCAAGAUAAAAUGUACAGAUGUUAACUCACAUUUCUAAUUUUUAAUCCUCCAUGAAGGUGAUUCCCUUUAUUUGAAUUACUCUCUGCACACCAGAAGUGCACUUAUGGAAUUAGGAAGAUUGGACCACUAAAAAUUAGUGAAAUUCUGAUAAUAUCCAGUUUUGAGUAAAAGCAUUAAAACAAAGUUUAAUAUGCUCCUCGUAAGUAGUAAUAGUAGUAUGAAAUUAAUUUCUUCUUGAUAUAUCCCAUCUUGAUUGCCUUAAAAUUUCGCUUUAAAUACCCUGUACUUGUGUUAAAAAAAUUAUUUCCCCCUUUUUAUUUUGAAAAAAAGUUGGUGUAUAAGUACAUUUGUUUGUGGGGAAAUAGAAGCAGACACCCUUCUACAUAAUUUUUAGGAACUGUUAUUUAAAUUGCUUUUUAAAAAUUCUGCCCAUGUCUUGAAUGGAAAUUUUAAUUAGGUUCUGGAUGCCAGUCUUGUAAUGUAAGGUAUAGUAUACACAGAAGCACAGAGGCUUCUUGUACCAAAAAUGUUAAAUUGUUUUUUUUUCAUAAUAACUGUGACCUUUUUAAACCAUUUUAAAAUGAGCUUCUUGGUUUCUUAAUUUUAUGUCAGAUUAUAUAUAAACUCUGUUGUUCUGCUUUGGAGAAAGUCAUGCAUAAUUUAGUAAUAAAACAAAUAUGCUUUGUUAUACUCUUUAAAAUCUUAGCAGUUCUAGCUCAUAUCUGAUGUGCAUGGGCACCGCAGUCACUAAGAGAUGCCACAGUUAGUGUUCUGCAGUGCACUUCACAUGAAUCUGUACAAUUCUAAGGGAACUUUAGAAUGCAUAGUACAUGCCUAUAUUCUUUUUUAUAAAACAUGUGUAUAUAGCAUGAGUCUCCUGAAGAAUCUGAUGAAUAGUUUCUUCCUUUGUAAAUUAAAGGGAAACAAAAUAAAAUCCUCCCUACAACUUUUAUGGUCCAUAUAUGAACUAAGAUGUAGACUAUACCUAGUUGUCAUUUCAUUUCAUAUAAUGAAAAUGCAUUUCUUUUCUAUCUAAUUGAGAAUUGGGAUGCCUUUAUAAGUCUGUUUUGGUGUCCCUGAGGACAUUGCCAGUGAAAAUGUAAAACCCACAUGGUCUCCACAACUCUCUCCUAAGACCAUGUUUUUGUCUUGGAAGUAACAGAGUGUAAUAUGAGAUACAGCAGUUGCCAAGGUAACUGUUCUUUUCCCAUUUAAUAGCAGCAGGUGAAUGGUUGCCUGGAUAUCCACAGUAAUUUGCUGGGGCUCUAGUAAUUCAUGAAGGAUGUACACAUUCUUUUCCAGGCUUGUUUUUCUCUCACAGAAGCUUUGACUAAAACCCCAAGGUACAUGAUAAGUAUUAAAAUAUUAUUCAAUAUUAUUAAAUAAUUAUUCUUCCUUUAGUGUUUUGCUUUAAAUAUUAAUAUUUUAAUACUGUUUUAAAUGCAGAAUAUUAGACCAAGAUCUUUUUAAAUUAUGAUACUUCUUUUCAGAAGAACUUAUUUUCUGAUUUCUUUUUUUUUUUUUAAUCUUGGUUUGCUAUUUCAAAACACUUCAGAAAUUUAACUAAUUAACACCAUAUUUAAGUCUGGAGCUAAUGAGACAAAUUUUCAAGGGCAAUUUCUGGUUUGCUUUUAUUGCAGUUUCCUUUAGUGAAAUCAUAAGAAAAUAAGAUGUUUGGAAAUAAGACUAGUCUCUCAUUCUUAUUCUACUGCAGCAUUCUCCUGAAUUUAAAAGGAAAUACACCCCACAAAGAGGUGUUCAGAUUUUUAUGGACUUUGAAAAUAGAUGGGAAAGUUCUCAUGAAAUGUGACAUAAUGAUUAUUUUCAGUGAUUAGAACAUAAGUCUUCAGUGCGUCAUAAUUAAGUUUUAAGUUUACUAUAUAAGACUGUUUUAUUCAGUCUGUUGGCAGGUUCAGAAAGCAUCUGUUGCAUCGUUUAUAACUCAGUUUAUUAGCUCAUUACAUACACAUAAUCGGAAUGGGAAGAAAAUCUUAAAUUUGAGACAAACAAAAUAUGUUUUACAGAUUUCACUUGUGCAUAAAUUUGGCCAUCCAAGCUCCUGAACAUGUCAUCUCUGUGUGGCAUGAAUUUCAGCUGUUAAGUACCUUAGAACUGAGAAAUCUCCUUGUAAUCUCUAAAUUUAGCACUCACUUUAUGUGAAAUAGCAUUGCUUAAAAAAUAUAUAUAUCUCUCUUCAAAAUUCUGUUGUUAUUGUGAAUGAUGCCACUGUACCCAAUUACUGACAUUGCAAACAAGAACAUAAGUAAUCAGCUAAAUAAAGCCAGCAGCCAUAUUUAUGAAGAGAAGGGCAAGACAGGUCAAAGCUGUUCCACCUUUAAGAAUUAGAUACAUACUCUCAGUGGAACUCUUCUGUGUAAUGGCAAUCAUGAUGUUCUGAGAGAUUUGAUGGAAGUCUUGUAUUUAUUUAAUUUCUAAAGGUUUUCUCUUAGAGCACUUGCUUUCUGAAAAGCAGAAUUAGUGCUGGAGAGGAGUCCUUUAAAGCUGACAGUGAAACUACUUGAUAACAGAAGUUUAGUCUGCUUUCUUUUGGUUACUGAAAUAAAAUGGAAAGUGUGUCAUUGUAAGGGAUAGACAAUUCUUGGCUCAGAAGUAAGUCAUUUUGCCUCCCUAAAAAGGGGUUGGAGAACAAGCAGAUUUUUUUUAGACAUCCAUCGUAGCCAAGACUACCACCUGACAGGUAGACUCAACAUCUUGACACUACUGUAAAUAUUAAUGAUAUCUCUGAUUUGUUUUGAUAGCCUUGUUGGAUGCUUAUUCACCAAAAGUACUUAUUUAAGUAGAUCAGACUCUUAGAAUUAGCAAAACUACUGCAAUUCCUAGUCUGAGGACACAUUUUUAUUGGGGUAUGUAACUUUGAACAGAUGUGAUAAUUGUUUUCUACUCCCUUCAUGACUUGACACCUGUACCUAAAGUGAAUAACAGCAGUGACCAAAGCACAGCUCUAAGAUUCUGAAUUGACUUGUAAGUUACCUGAAUUGCAGUAGUUUGUAACAAAUAAACCUCCUCAAGGCUUCUGGAGAAGCUUUCAUUAAAAUUAUUUUUUAAUGUUUAAUUAUUAAAAUAAAUUUCUCUCUCCUCCUAUAAAGAUUUCCAGAUUCAAGUCGGCUAUUAAACAAAGGUGAACCAAAAGAAUGUUAGUAGAGCUGCUAAUAAUUUCUGAACAAUAAAAAGAAAAUGCCUUAUUGAUACAUAUUUAUUCAAUCUGGUUCUACAUAUAAUGUUUUUGAUUUAUAAAGUCUCUCAAUAAUGGAAAAGGUUGGAAAAGACUGUCCUUCUAAGCUGUCAAACUAGUACUCCUGAUUAUUUCAGUAGGGCAAAACUGACCUUUCUUCAACAAUACCCUUUAAGUUUGCAGCUUCAGUACAGUUAAAUGUUAGAAACAAAAUUAACCCAACCACACAUAAAACAACAAACAAAACUGAGAGUACUUAGAUCCUUCUAUAGUUGCGUUUCUCUGUGUUAAUUAUAUUAUUUUCUCCCAUAGGUGUAAAAGGGCUUCUAGAAGCUGUAAGUACCAGGCAUAUGUUUUCGUCCAAGUAACAACUGCUGCAGAGGUGAAUCAUCAAACCAUCCAUGUGUUGUGUUUUCAAAAUACUUCUUAGUUCAUAGAAGUAAAGGUUGGCACUCGCUGGGAAUUUUAACAACUCUGGUGGAUCAAAUGUAUGAAAUACAGAGCUGGGAGUCCAGAAAAUAGCUUUGAAAGGAUUCAGCAUUACAUUUGCAUAGAAGAAACAGUGAUUUUUAUUUUUUUUUAAUUAUUAUGUUAACGGUUGGGUGCUUUUUGUGUAUGCGGAAGCUGCAGAACAGAUGUAAUAUUUACAAAAAGAUUAGCAACAUAGUAAUGCUUGAAAACACCCAUCUUGUGACAUGAGUGAUCUUUACAAAUUGUUAGACAACCGUGUGUUCUGCAGCAAACUUCUCAGCAUCUCACUUUAUCUACUCUUCUUGUGGCUGAUUUUUGAUAUCUAAAAGGAUAGGGUGGAGGUCACUAGAGAGCAACUUAAAAAACCCCUUUGAAGAAGAGUAAAAUUACAUAUGUAAAGCUUUCUUAGGUUAGUUGUUUCUUCCUUAAAAUAUGAGUGAAAAAGUUUUUAGUUUUAGCCUACGGAUUGAUCUUCUGUCAACAGUAAAUCAAUAUCAGAUAAAUUAAAAUUAUGUCUGAAUGUUUUUUAAAUAUACUAUAGAGUUUCAGUGCAACUUCUUAUAUAAAGUUGCACUUUUUUUCCUUAUUGAAAUGAUACAGAAGUAAUUUUACU